AUUGAACGCUGGCGGCAGGCCUAACACAUGCAAGUCGAACGGUAACAGGAAGCAGCUUGCUGCUUUGCUGACGAGUGGCGGACGGGUGAGUAAUGUCUGGGAAACUGCCUGAUGGAGGGGGAGAACUACUGGAAACGGUAGCUAAUACCGCAUAACGUCGCAAGACCAAAGAGGGGGACCUUCGGGCCUCUUGCCCUCGGAUGUGCCCAGAUGGGAUUAGCUAGUAGGUGGGGUAACGGCUCACCUAGGCGACGAUCCCUAGCUGGUCUGAGAGGAUGACCAGCCACACUGGAACUGAGACACGGUCCAGACUCCUACGGGAGGCAGCAGUGGGGAAUAUUGCACAAUGGGCGCAAGCCUGAUGCAGCCAUGCCGCGUGUAUGAAGAAGGCCUUCGGGUUGUAAAGUACUUUCGGCGGGGAAGAAGGGAGUAAAGUUAAUACCUCGGCUCAUUGACGUUACCCGCAGAAGAAGCACCGGCUAACUCCGUG
rnacentral:rRNA from 1 species